rnacentral:rRNA from 1 species
AACGAACGCUGGCGGCAUGCCUAACACAUGCAAGUCGAACGAGACCUUCGGGUCUAGUGGCGCACGGGUGCGUAACGCGUGGGAACCUGCCCUUAGGUUCGGAAUAACUCCCCGAAAGGGGUGCUAAUACCGGAUAAUGUCUUCGGACCAAAGAUUUAUCGCUUUUGGAUGGGCCCGCGUUGGAUUAGCUAGUUGGUAGGGUAAAAGCCUACCAAGGCGACGAUCCAUAGCUGGUCUGAGAGGAUGAUCAGCCACACUGGGACUGAGACACGGCCCAGACUCCUACGGGAGGCAGCAGUGGGGAAUAUUAGACAAUGGGCGAAAGCCUGAUCCAGCAAUGCCGCGUGAGUGAUGAAGGCCUUAGGGUUGUAAAGCUCUUUUACCCGGGAUGAUAAUGACAGUACCGGGAGAAUAAGCUCCGGCUAACUCCGUG